UUGAAAGGUUGACUUCGGUCUCCUUUUCAUUGGUAACUGCUUAGCAGAUCGAGCAUCUUGGCUCCACAGAGCACAGGUUGUUCCAUCAUUUAUUUAUGAUGCUCUCGAGCCUGGGGCUACAACAUUAUUUUGAUAUAUAAGGAGUUUAGAAGAUGCAAAACUAUCGACUGCAUGUUUUAUUCAUCCUUAAAUUGCAAGAGCGCCUCGGUUUCCUUUUGAUGCCUAGCCUAUUUGCAUAUGCUACCUGUGUGCUUCUACAGGCACUUACUAUUUGAAUGUAUAUGCCCUCAUCAGCUAUAAAGCAUUAAUGUUUUGCACUUGUAUAGCCUUUCAUCCGAGGAUCUCAAAGUCUUUCACCGACGAGAAUUACAGUCCCCUUUGAAGUGGAUUCAUCUAUCCUGCUGGUCCUGAGGAAUUAUUCCACUAACCAGACAAGAUCAAGACAGAACACCGACUUCAAAACUACUUGUGUCAUCCUUGAAGAUGCUGUGGGUGGAAUUAAUCACUUCUCCAUAUACCAGAGCACUGACAUCCUGAAUUUGUUACAUCAAAGGAUAUUGACUGAGAAGACAAAUAAUUAAAUGACCCGUAACACAGCUGAAAAACUUUACCAUAGAAGCAAUGGUACCAGGACUGGCAGGGAAGGAGAAUACUCAGGAAGAACAGAAAUUACAUGCAGGAGACUUACAGCCAUUCAAGGUGAAAGAUGCCAUGUUGUCCUCUUACAGAACAUCCUAAAAUGUAUCUGAGGAAAUGAUUUGCUUACUGAGGCAUACUUUUAAAAACUACCCUGACACUUCUGAAUGGAGUGCAGUGCUGGUGCAAAAGUCAUCAAUAACAGAGCAUGCUGAUGCAGCCUGAUGCUGAUCCAUCGCUGCAGUUCCCGAGGAGACAUUAUGAUGCAUUUCAUCUCCAUGUGAGGAAAAUGUUAGGAUGUUAAUAUGGGUAUAACUGACAACAUAAAUUUCAGUAAGUUAUGGAAUUCUUACUCUCUCUAUAUAAUUGAGAAUUUAGUUUUAAAACAUUAAUUACAAAGCAACUUCAUUUUUCUUUUCACACUGUCACACCUUAUAAGCAAACUGAGAGCGUUGACUUUAUUGUUAAAUAUUCAUUCCAAGCCCAGGAGAUUUAGUGGUACAAUUUCUGUUACUAUUUAUGGGAACUGAUGUGGUUAGCCCCUGUUCAGGUGUAACAACGAAUUUACUUUUGUAUUUCCAAAAUUAACAGGUUUAGUACAGAAAGGCUAAAGACUAGAAUUAGUUGAAUUUAAAAGAACAAUAAUUACAGAUGUCUUCAUUUAGAGAUAAAAACCUUUGGAGAAAAAAUGUUUUGACAUCCUCAAGGAGGUGCUGAAAACAAGUAAAUAGUAAAUUUAGCUAAACUUCUUGGGUACGAUUUUAUAUUUUCUAUUUCUUUUCAUAGAAGACACAGACCAUCUCCCUACCAGUUUUCCUAAGUUAGGAGUCUUUGGGUGUAAAAUCUGAUCUUUUUAGGUGGUAGUUUGAGGUUGAAUUACAACAUCAAGAUCCUUUGACAUAAUUUUAUGAAUUAUCCCCAGUGGCAAACUUUUUGCAAAUAUCUAGAGCAGGGCCAUGGAAUAGAUAGCUAUGCAACUGUUAAAUCCCCGUUCCUUUUUCUUUUCCCUGGGUGUUGGACCUUAAAACUUGUAUAACUAUUACACUGAGGACUUACAUGUUUUGAACCCAAACAUUUCCUAAGUGUCUAUGUUCAGGAGUGCGUAGGGUGGCUUUUAACUGUAUUUCACCUCUUUUGACCAAGGACAGGGAGCUACCUAGCUUCACCCGGGUGCUAUAUCCAUUAAACUUGCUUCAUUUGUAGAAUGGACCACACUGAAUGCAGUGACAAUUCCACCUUUCCUCAGUGCUGGGCCUCUGGAAGAGGAAGAAGAGCCAAGUAGUGGCUGGAGUCCUCAUCCAUGGAGUGGCUUUCAGCCUUCCUAAAUAAGUUUAUCUCCUGCUUAGAAGCAAGACUGGGACAAAGCUUUCUCCUCUUGCCCCAGGAAGCUUAUGAUUAAAGAAUUCAGAACCAGAAGGAAUGAAUUCUGGGGAAUCUGUCUCUUCAGCCUCAAGAUAAGCUUGUUAUCUCGGGCUGGUCUGUGUCACAGCCCAUUUUGUGCAAGGGGAGAGCUGUUUGCCUCAGCUCUCUGAACUUUGAUCUGAACCAAACAGAAGAGGCCUGCUGCAUUGGUCCAUAAGAUCCAGAGCAGGGAUCUUUGCUGGAGUUUGCAAUGGUUCUCUGUUGGCUACAUCUUCUGGAUUCCUCCCAGAACAUAGACUUAGCAUGUCGUUUACACUUAAGUUUUUCUUUGUAAAUUAAUCGGGCACUGACAGCUGUUCUUUCAAAGUGUAGGGAGCUCAAGUGCUUUGAAAUAUGUACACGAGACCUGAGUCUGCUUCUGCUGCUAUUUCAGUGUUUAUCGUCGGCACUUAAAAUGGCCAGUUCCAAUACAAUCCAGAACAAAGGAGAAAAAAAAAAAAAAAAAAGCUUUAAACUAAGAAUUAUACAUAUAUUUACUCACCUCUGUUUAGCAUUUCUUUGUGGCCUGCCUAGCCUUCCUUAUUGAGUGAAAGUCUUUUAUAUUGAUUUAGCAGUGAAAUAGAUGAGGAGUGCUCACACAAUCUAUUCCAUUGACUCAGCUCCACUGGAGAAAUGCACACUUGAGCAGUGGUAAUGAAUAGGUUGAGCUGAUAACUUCUAAAUUUCCUAAGCUAUGAUUAUCUGCUUAUCAUGUGAGUUAACUCCUUAGAUCCACAUAGCGUGAUAGUAUUUAACAGAACAAAGGUCUAUAUUGUGUUAUCGAAAAGUAUCAAUAUUUUUUCAGGAACUUUGCCAUUUGUUAGAAGAAUGAAACCAUAGUAUG